ensembl:lncRNA
AGCAGGGCUAGCUGGGCUCUGUGGCCCCGGCGCGCCCAGCGGGAUGGGAGCUGCCCGCGGCGCGGGGCGAGCGGGCCUGGCGGAAUGGUAACAGAGGAGUAGUGUGAAUUUUAGAGAAGAUACCUGUAAAAGUUUAUUUGAAGAGGAAAGAGCAGAACUGCCAAUGGGCAGCCUGAAAAAUGUCUGAUGAUGCUGUGGUCAAGAGCGUCACACCUAUGGGAUAAAGAGGAUAUUUUGUUGUCUUUGCAUCUUCUACAUGUAAGAGUGCAUUUAAGCUGAAGUGAAGGCCAGAACCUGAGCCCAGAACUACAGUCAAGGAGAAAGCAUCUUCUUUUUAGAUUUUUCUAUGACUUAGCCUGCAGUUCUGCCUACAAAUCUCCAAAUCACUGCUAGAGAAGCAGAUGCAGUUGUUUAUGUGCAGGUGUGCUGCAUACCUGAUGUAAUCCUGCAAGUUCUACAUCCACAGAACUUCUGCAGAAUUCUGAGUGAGGUCUGUGCUUGGAAGGCUUCCACAUCCAGGUUCUCACAUCAGGAAAACCUCAAUCAAAGCCCUCAAUCAAAGUUCAAAAGCAAACAAACAAGCGGUCUUUCCUUAUUGCUGACAUUAAUCUUAUCUGAGUCUCAGUCCCCCAGACCUCUCUCCUAUGAGUUACCUAGGUCUGUGACACAGACCAUAUUUUGUUUUCAGAUGCUAAUGUAGCUUUUACUUCAUGAUCACAUUAAUUGCAUUUGUGCGGUGGAGAUUUUUAAUCCCAAAAGGUGCUGCCAGCUUUUGUGUACUCAAUUUAUGCUUAAGAGGAGUUUCUGCACUUCACAGUGACCUCUGCUGACUUUCAUAUAUUUAAAUUCUGAAGUUGUGAAUCUCCUUGAUUCAUCUUCUGUUAAAGCAUGUCUGCUAUGCAAAAACUGGCAGGGGGGUUAAGGAGGAUGAAAAAAGCGGUAUUACAGAGAACCAGGAUAUGGCAUGGUAUUUGUUCCUUGAAGGCAUGUUGCCACCAAGAAUAACACCAAGAAUAAUGAUCACACAAAGAGAAAAAAAGAGUGCUGGAGAUCUAUGAAAUUUACUUGAUUUUGAAAAGCUUAGUUGAAGAAAGACCUAGAGGUCUGACAAUGCCUACUGAGCUCCUUAAAUGCAGCGGGUUGGCACUCUGUGGAUGUGGCAUAUCAUCUGUUGGACAGAGUAAGUCAGCCAUUCUCCUGGCUCUGCUCUAGCUAUGCACAGCUGGGAAUUUCACAUCAGGAAAGGGAGGAGGAUACACAAACUCCUGAUAUUUCAGAAGAUGUGCAUGCUAAAAUGCAAAGCCCUGGGUGCUGGAGGUAGCUGUGAUGAGUUUAUGGCGCAGGAGCCACAGCUGGUAGGAAGAUACAUGAUCUCACCCGAAAAUGCUGUGUUAUUUUAGUCUCUCUUUUACACACAUAGAAGAAUCAAACAGUUUGAGGAUGAGAGAUUUGAGAAGCAAAAUGGAAGAGAUCAGAUUGUUACACAAGAAGAACUAAGGGAGCUUUUAGUAGAUGAGUAGGAACAAGAUGAAAUGCUGUAAUACCCAGUGCAAGGUCAGUGGGUAUUAUUAAAGGCAAAACACUGGAAUUUCUGCUCUAGACGCUUGGUGAUUAAGGACUCCAUACAUGAACAAGUAGUUCUUGCUCCAGUCAUCAAACAGCCACACCAAAGAAUGAGUAAGAUGAAAGGCAAGGCUGCUGUGGAAUGUGGAGCUGAUGAGAUAGCCGCAUGCUGAGAACACGUUGGAGGUGAAAUCGAUGAGUGAAUUCAGUUGAUUGCACCUUCUGUAAAAUGUAAAGAAGCAGAGAAGAGUAAGAAGUUUUCAAUGAUUCUAAGAAAUCAGAGCAAAAAAAGACAAAACAAAAUCCCAAAACAACCUGAGAGACUGCUUCCAUGACACUGCAGUCUUAUGGGUUACGCUGUCAGCAAAAAGACUGUGAGUUUUCUGUAGACUCAGCAAGAAUGGCCAUGCGGCAGCAGUUAGCACUGUGUGCAAUGCUGGAAGUGAUAGGAACCAACUGGAGCAGUGACUGGAAGCAGAAGUCUUCAGAAGAGCAUCAGCAUUCUGUGAUGUGAGGAAAAUGCUGUCCUGCCCCUUUAUACUGGUGGUGUGUUUAGUGGACUGGGACAAAUAUCUCUCAUUAGAUGGGAAUUCUGAGUUUUUCCUUUCUUUUGUUUCAAUAACAUGAAUACUGGAGAAGGAAAGUAGGCUGCUCUGCAUCUGAAAGGGAAAGCAGUGAAGUCUGUGAUCUCUGUUUGCUUAAAUGCUAAACAGAAAGAAAGAAGAAAGAAGGAAAGAAGGAAAGAAAGAAAGAAGAAGGAAGGAAGGGA